AUCAAUUUACCCCUUGUUGGAAUUAUCUUAUUAUUUCUCUGGUUGUUUUUCUUAUGUUUAAUUUUUGGAUUUUUUUUUCUUCCUUUUUUUAUUUUCGGAUUUCAAAGGUGUACUGUUAGAUUUGGGUGUAUGUGCAGGCAGCUGAUACCAAAAUUCAUCUAGAUACCACUACUAAAUUAAUCAUAUAUAUAAUAAAGUUUGUUAGUAAUUUUGUGACACACUCCUGCUUAAAUAUCAUAGAUAUGAGACAGGAUGUGCGGAAAAAUGAGAUAGAAUUAGAAUAGGUUAAGGGUUAAAUCCAUUAUAAUGUAAAGGGAAAAAUAAGUUUAGUA